rfam:Triticum aestivum genome assembly, contig: Triticum_aestivum_CS42_TGACv1_scaffold_159285_2DL
AAAAUACUCCCUUCGUCCGGAAAUACUUGUCAUCAAAAUGAAUAAAAAGGGAUGUAUCUAGACUUAUAUUAGUUCUAGAUACAACCCUUUUAAUCCAUUUUGAUGACAAGUAUUUCCGGACGGAGGGAGUACUUU